rnacentral:lncRNA from 1 species
UUAACUAAGGAGUUUGCAACUUGGUUUUGCUCUCUAAAACAAUGCACCACUGGUGGAUGUCCCACCCUUCUCAGCACACACCUCUAAGUCUGAGGAUCUAUGUACAUUAUACCUAUCAGAAGUGAACACAGAACUAUUUGACAAACCUGCAAAAUUGGCAAAGCUAGAUGAUUCACUAGCAGCAGGUUGUUGUUCAUGAGGAACUGAGGAGACAUGAGCCUGUUGAAACAAUGUCAUGAGAUGGAUGUAUUUUUCUUUAGUAAAACCAUAUGGGGAAUCUUGAGGAGAUGAGACAGCGGAGGUGAAAGGACCACUUGAUGGAUUUGGACAAUUAGGAUGUGCCAUGUGUACACAAGAAGCAGCUGGUAUCUUGUUCUUUAUGAACUUGAAAUUAGCUGGGAAUUUAUGAGGUCUAUAAUAGGUCUCAAUAUUAUGCCCACGUUUCUUGCAGUACUUGCAUGUAAUGGGCAGGUUUGGAUUCUUGUUUGAGUUGAAUGGAACCUUUUGAUUGUAAGUUCUAGGUGCAUGAGAUGAUGCAUGAAAAAAGACUGAUUUACUGGAGAAAUUUAGAAUUCCAGUUUGAGUUUCUUUUUUAACUUUCAUCCUACUAUAGGAGCCCAUACACUUUACUAAUUAAUGGCAAAGGUGUCAUCAUCAAUGUAUUACUCCUAACAGUGUUGUAAGUCUCAUUAAGGCCACUAAGGAAUUGGAACAACUAUUGAUCUUGGAUGAAUUUGCUCAAUGCUCUACAAGUACAUUCAGGUCCAACAUAUGAAGCAUUGAGUUCAUCCCAAAGGCCUCUCAUUUUGGUAAAAUAGCUAGAUAUACUAGAAGAUUCUUAAACUGUAGCAUUGAUCUCUCUUUGGAUAUGGAUAUACCUAGACCCAUUGGAUUGCCCAAAUCUAUCAUUUAUAUCUUUCCAUACUUCUCUAGCACUAGAUAGACAUAUCACACUGAUGAUUAUUUUCCUGGUCAGAGAAUUGAUGAUCCAUGCUUUGACCAUAUGGUCACAUCUUUCCCAAAAUGGGAAAUAUGGAUUAUUAGGAUCGGGUCUAAGGAGGUUGCCAUUCACCAUGCUUAAUUUGUUCUUGGCAGAUAGGGAAGUAAUUAUGUUGUUUCUCCAAAUAGCAUAACCAUUCCCAUUGAAAACCAUAGGUACUAGCUGAGAACUAGGAUUCUCAAAUGGAUGUACAUAAUACGGGUGUGAGGUAUCCAGAGUGAAUUCCUCAAACCCACCAGUUGUGGUAGAAUUCCCAGUAGUAGGGAUGGUUGAAUUCCCAGUAGUAGGGUUUACCAUAUCAAAUAUGCAAAUCUAUACUCAGACUACUUCAGAAAAUGCAGAGCACGCCCCAAUAUACAAAUACUGAGUGAAAUCCUUACAUUAUAGCUAUGAUAUACGAAUAUACAGCGAAUAUCUCAGUAUACAAAUCGAUAUGCGAAGAUUACACUUCAGAUCUAAAAGAUUUUGGGCAUACGAGCAAAAUACCAAUUUUUGAGAAAUGAGUAGUCGUAUGGAAAGAGUUUACUGUUCUUCUUCUUAAACCUGAAGAAGAUCAGGUCUUGCACAACAUAGAUCGGACCUGAACCACUUUAUACCUCCACAAAAUCUUUAGAAACUCCAUUUGAGGGUAGUAUCGGACGAAUGCGCACUUUGAGAUCUAUCAGAAAACCUGCUCUAAUACCAUGUUAAGCUCAAAAUCGAGCUGAAUUUGGUGAAACAAAUCGAACAAUCCUAAUCUGAUUUUGAGAGAAUGAAUGGAGAAAGGGAGAAAAAAUCUUUUCUUAUUCUCUUGGAAUCGUCUAGAAUCAGGUCCACUAUUAUUUAUACUUGAUAAUAGUAGACCGGGUUAUCAAUGUGAUUACAGACAAAUGAGGCCCAAUCUGUCAUAAUAAUGAAUUGGCCCAAU